rnacentral:misc_RNA from 1 species
GAAUGCGAUAAGUAAUGUGAAUUGCAGAAUUCAGUGAAUCAUCGAAUCUUUGAACGCACAUUGCGCCCGCCAGUAUUCUGGCGGGCAUGCCUGUUCGAGCGUCAUUUCAACCAUCAAGCCCCCGGCUUGUGUUGGGGACCUGCGGCUGCCCGCAGGCCCUGAAAAACAGUGGCGGGCUCGCUGUCACACCGAGCGUAGUAGCAUACAUUCUCGCUCAGGGCGUGCUGCGGGUUCCGGCCGUUAAACGACCUUCAUAACCCAAGGUUGACCUCGGAUCAGGUAGGAAGACCCGCUGAACUUAAGC